rnacentral:tRNA from 1 species
GGCCAGAUAGCUCAGCCGGUAGAGCAGCGGACUGAAAAUCCGUGUGUCGUUGGUUCAAUUCCGACUCUGGCCA